AUCCCAUGAUGAGGACACUUACGCAGUAACUCCUUGAAUCGAUCUCAAGCCUCAUACAAAGACUCGUCAUCGAAUUGUUGGAAGGUUGUGAACUCGUUCCUCAACUU
rnacentral:snoRNA from 1 species